GUCCAACCAAAAAUAAAGGUGCCAUAGAUGAUGAUGUUUCACAAAGAAUUAAAGUGGGAUGGAUGAAUUGGAGAGGUGUGACUGGAGUAUUGUGUGACCGACGCAUUCCUUUAAAGCUUAAAGGAAAGUUCUACAGGAC